rnacentral:tRNA from 3 species
GGGUGAUUAGCUCAGCUGGGAGAUCACCUCCCUUACAAGGAGGGGGUCGGCGGUUCGAUCCCGUCAUCACCCACCA